GGAACAAGCUGUUAACAACUUGUAACAACCUUGUUGAUAUUAUCAGAUUUGUCGCAAGGUUGUUCCAACAAGUCCGAUACAGUCUUGGCAUAACAAUAUUGUAACAACCUUGUGUCGUCAAGUUUGUAACAUUCUUGUUAUAUGAUGAUUGUAUCAGACUUGUUAGAACAACCUUGUAACAAGUCUGAUAAUGUCAUCAAGCUUGCAGUUACAAGCUGUUAACAGCUUGUUCC